GGUCCCAUCGUCUAGAGGCCUAGGACACCGCCCUUUCACGGCGGUAGCACGGGUUCGAAUCCCGUUGGGACUGCUA
rnacentral:tRNA from 1 species